rnacentral:rRNA from 1 species
AGAGUUUGAUCCUGGCUCAGAGCGAACGCUGGCGGCAGGCCUAAUACAUGCAAGUCGAGCGCCGUAGCAAUACGGAGCGGCAGACGGGAGAGUAACACGUGGGAACGUACCCUUCAGUUCGGAACAACCCAGGGAAACUUGGGCUAAUACCGGAUACGUCCGUAAGGAGAAAGAUUUAUCGCUGAAGGAUCGGCCCGCGUCUGAUUAGCUUGUUGGUGAGGUAACGGCUCACCAAGGCGACGAUCAGUAGCUGGUCUGAGAGGAUGAUCAGCCUCACUGGGACUGAGACACGGCCCAGACUCCUACGGGAGGCAGCAGUAGGGAGUAUUGGACAAUGGGCGCAAGCCUGAUCCAGCCAUGCCGCGUGGGUGAUGAAGGCCCUAGGGUUGUAAAGCC